CCCUGGUUAGCUCAGUUGGUAGAGCGCUCCACUUGUAAUGUCCGCCUGGUCCCGGUUCGAUACCCGGACCAGGCG
rnacentral:tRNA from 1 species